GGCUGACUAGCUCAGUUGGUUAGAGCGUCGUGCUAAUAUCUUGCUUUCCUCCGUUCAUAUAUAUUAACGCGAAGGUCUUGGGUUCGAUCCCCACGUUGGCCA